AUAUGCAGCUUGUGCCUCCCUCAGGCCCCCAAGUACAGAGCUCAGGUGGUCAGUCUGCUGAUGAAUGCAACUCUAUUAAUAGAAAAUGCUGCCUAUCUGGUGAAUGAUGAACAUUGAACAGAUUUCUCACAGGUCUGAAAAUGACCCGCUUUAGUUUGACUUCUUACUUUUUAGCAAAAGAUUUCAUUUGAUGCCCUGAAACAUCAGAAGUUUCUUGUAGUUAUUUCAGAUCUCAUCAUAGUACGACCAUGGAGCAGUCAGGUAAACUCGUAUUGUACGCAUGUCUAAGUUGUGCAAUUUUCCUCACAAGGCCAGGUCAUCUGGGCUUAACCCAGGAGCCCUGUGAGUCUCAGGGAAUGUAAACAUCCUACACUCUCAGCUGGAGACAAGACAAGGCCGGGAGUGGGGUGUUUGCGCUCUCUGGCUUACGGAUGCCGUGGCAGCACAAAGGAAAAGGAAACAGCACCACAGAGGAAACUGGCUUUUCUGCCAUCAUAUCAGUUCGGCUCAUUGGACACAUCCGGAGGCUUUCAACGUCUGGAACAUUGGCGCAGUGACCUGUUAUAAUCUUGAUGAUCCUUUAUUUCUGUGUGGCUUCAUGACAUGUUUCUCAACUGUGAAGAUUUUAAAAUUGCAUUGAGAGGACAGUGUGUAGGUGGGUGUGGUUUGUAGAACUCUGAGGAAGUGGUGCUCCAUUGUGAAAAUUACUGCAGGGUCAGGAGGUGAGGCUGAAGGCUCUUUUUGAAGCUCUCUAACCCAGCAGGGUGGGACAACUCGAAAUGCUUCCAAGCCCUCCUGUCCAGACUAAGCUGUUGUCACGGAGACAGAGUGGCCCAAGAGGAAAUGGCUAUUUAUACCCAACAAGUUCAGAAAGAGAGGCACCCUUCCAAUGGGCGGCAUUUGACUUGCAUCCUCCAACAAUCAGGGUUUGGGUCUUCAUUUGGACCCACUUUCUCUACUUCUGCUGCCGUCUCCAUGAUUUAUCUAUUGAUGUUUGGGAAACAUUGCCAUGAUUGUUAAUUUUAUAGCCUGACAGACUUGCCAACAACUUUUGAACAGUGUACAGUACAGUUGUACAGUGUUGUAUGUGCUGUCCUGUUGAUUUGUUUCCUUUGGCCCUUCUGUGUCACUCAGGAUGCAUGCCUGGUGGUUUGUGGUUCCCACCCUCUCCCACUGCAAUUAUUUCAGUGUGCUUUUAUUCUGUUACAUCAUUACAGCAGCUGCUCCAUCAUAGUCCACAAGGUGGCAGACUGUCUCCAACGAUGGCCUGGGAAAUGCAUUUAUAGUGCAAACACUUAACAGAAAAUUAUUUUGACAUGGGUGGAUUUGAGCUUUAGUCAAAAACUUGGCUCCAAAAGACUUACCAUAAUUCAUUAUUUUGUAUUUAUUUUGCUGUUUGAGUUGCAUAUAGUUAGAAUGGUUGCAUUUCUGUAGUACAUACUAUACUAACUACUUUUUUAUCCUUUUUCAAAAGCUAUUUGAAUCAAAGUGUUAAGCAAAGGUUUGUUUCUAACAACUUGGAAAAGAACAUCCUGGGGCUUAAUACAUUCCUUUAUUAGAUGAUGGGGCAGACAGUUGAGGUGGUCUUGUGGCAUACAUUUCUUAAUUUACUCUAUGAAGAAUCUACUUACAAAAAUCAGAGCAUACACACACAAAAUUAUAUAUUAUAUAAAGAGGAAAAGCAGAAGUUGCUCUUAAUGUUGUGGCACUUGAGUCAGUAUUGCUUUAUGUUUUUCUGCCAUUUAUAUCUGUCCUCUGCAGAUGAGCAGCAUUCUGGGAAUUGAUGAAAUUAUGUUUACAUGGAAAGCUAUGAGAUUUUACAGCAAGAGGAGUUGCAUUAAAGACACACCAAGUGUCCAUGAAGCUAAGUGGCAUCACUGUAGCAUAUUGAGUUAUAAAAUUUAUAUAUUUUUUUAAUUCAAACAUUCCCUGACCUUAUAUUUAAUGAACCAUAAUAUUAGUUUGUAAUUCCUGUAAUGCCAGUGAAGACCCUGGGCAGGGAAUUUGACACACAUUGUUCAACAUUAUACAUUGCCAGUUCCAAAAGGAUUUUUUUAUUCUUUGUGACCAUUAUUUACUGGUUAACAGUUCAUUGUUCAUUGUGUCCAGGGCAGUUUGUAGUAACUGUUACAAAUAAUUACACAUGCUAAAGCAAAGGUUUAUUGUGUAUAUAAACCACUUUUGCAAGGUUAUUGUUGGAAUGUACAAUUAUAUCACUAGUGUGCAAUUUAAAUGCCAUGUGUUGUAAUGUAUCUAUUUUGUUGAAUAAAUUAUUUUAUUUUUUAA